rnacentral:rRNA from 1 species
UAAUGUAUGGGGAUCUGCCCGAUAGAGGGGAAUAACUACUGGAAACGGUGGCUAAUACCGCAUAAUGUCUACGGACCAAAGCAGGGGCUCUUCGGACCUUGCACUAUCGGAUGAACCCAUAUGGGAUUAGCUAGUAGGUGGGGUAAAGGCUCACCUAGGCGACGAUCUCUAGCUGGUCUGAGAGGAUGAUCAGCCGCACUGGGACUGAGACACGGCCCAG